UGCGUCGUCCAUGGAUCUGUCGGGGUGGUAGGCGAAUUGGAGAGGGUCGAAUGUGUCGAGGAGGGAGGAAGUGAUGUAGUCUUCGACUAGCCUCCCGUAGCAUUUCGGGAUGACGGAAGUGAGUACUACAGGUCGGUAGUAAUUCAGUUGUUACUUUCCCCUUUUUGGGCACAGGCAUGAUUGUGGACAUCUUGAAGCAGGUGGGGAUAACGGCCUGAGCUAGAGAGAGACUGAAAAGGUCAGAGAACGCAACAGCUAGCUGCUCUGCACAUGCUCUGUCGAGCUUUAGUCCACAGCUAAGGAUGCCGUCUGGGCCGGCAGCCUGGCAAGGGUUAACACGCUUUAAGGAUUUACAUACGUCUUCCGUGAAGACCAUAAGCACAUAGCCCUCGUUGUCUUCAGGGGCUCUCCUCGGCAGCUCGAAGCAGGAGAAAAGGGUUUUUAGCUCGUCGGAUAGGACGGUGUUGGUGUCUGCGAUGUGAUUGGCUUUCUUUUUGUAAUCUGUGAUCGUUAAAAGCCCCUGCCACAUUGUCACGCCCUGGCCAUAGAGAGGCUUUUAUUCUCUAUUUUGGUUAGGCCAGGAUGUGACUAGGGUGGGCAUUCUAGUUUCUUUAUUUCUAUGUUUUCUGUUUCUUUGUUUUGGCCGGGUAUGGUUCUCAAUCAGGGACAGCCGCCUAUCGUUGUCUCUGAUUGGGAAUCAUACUUAGGCAGCCUGUUUUUCCACCUUAGUUGUGGGUAGUUGUCUGUGUUAGUGGCCUGUAUAGCCCUAGUCAGCUUCAUGUUAGUUUUUGUUGUUUCUUGUUUUUGUUGGCGACAUUCAAAAUAAAAAGAAAUGUACGCUCACAACGCUGCAUCUUGGUCCGGUCAUUUCCACCCUGACGACGAUCGUUACACACAUACUCCUCGUAUCCGACCCGCUGAAUUGCUCCUCAACUUUGUCGCUAUACUUGAUCAAUCUGUGUGGGUCGUACUUGUAAUGUUUUAACCAUACAAUUGUACCCGGUCACCUUGCCGUUUUCAGAAGCAGCAUCUCUCUCCUUCAGUUUUCUGACAAGGCAGAAGCACUUAGAUUAUUUGCUUGAAAGAUUUUUUGACAAGUGGAUGGAAGCCUAGUAGUCUCAACGCAACUUUCCACACUUUCGCAGAAUGUAAUCAUUCUUAAUAUGUGUUUAGGCUGAAUCAAUGUUACCUCACAGUGAGAUGCUGUGAAACGUUGGCCUCCACUCAACUCAAUCUCCUCACACCUGAGAACGCUGAGAACGCUGGAUGUAUAUAUAUACAUCUUUGUUUAAAUCACAAUUAAAAUAGUAUUUACAUGCAAAUCAAGUUAAAGGCAAUUCUGAUUGAAAUACUAAUUCUCAAAGUAACUUUCCACUCAUUCGUAGUAUGUAAUAAUUCUUAUUAUGUGUUUAGGCUGAAUCAAUGUUGGCCUCAGCUCAAAGUCUUCACACCUGGAAGAGCUGGACCUGAGUGACAAUGACCUGCAGGAUUCAGGGGUGAAACUGCUCUAUUCUGGACUGGAAAGUUUACAUUGGAAACUGGAGAAACUGAAGUAAGUUCAUUUGGAUUGUAUGAGACAUGUUUAGCAAAAUCAACAACUCUGUAACGCUCGUCUUCCUCCUCGUCUGAAGAGGAGCAAGGAUCGGACCAAAACGCAGCGUGGGUUGAAAACAUACUUAUUUAUUAUAGCAAUAACGAAGACGAAAAAACACUUGAACAAACUACAAAAUAAUAAACGACGUGAACAGACCUGAACUUGAGAACAUAAAACAUGAACGAACGAACGAAACAGUACCGUGUGGCGAACAAACACAGACACAGCAACAAUCACCCACAAACAAACAGUGAGAACAGCCUACCUUAAUAUGGUUCUCAAUCAGAGGAAACGUAAAACACCUGCCCCUGAUUGAGAACCAUAUCAGGCUAGUUGACAAUGAACCCAACAUAGAAACACAUAACAUAGAAUGCCCACCCAGCUCACGUCUUGACCAACUAAACAAUACAUAACAAAGGAAAUAAGGUCAGGAACGUGACAAACUCACCAUACAUUAUGAGAGGGCUUGCAAAUUUGAACAAUCACCACAGUUUUACUGCAUGGUUCAGUCAAGCCACAUGUCUAUCACAUCAUUUUCAAUCAAAUUUAUAAAGCCCUUUUUACAUCAGCCGAUGUCAAAGUGCUAUACAGAAACCCAGCCUAAAACCCCAAACAGCAAGCAAUGCAGAUUUAGAAGCAUGGUGGCUAGGAAAAACUAGAAAGGCAGGAACCUAGGAAGAAAUUUAGAGAGGAACCAGGCUCUGAGGGGUGGCCAGUCCUCUUCUGGCUGUGCCGGGUGGAGAUUAUAACAGUACAUGGCCAAGAUGUUCAAACGUUCAUAGAUGACCAGCGGGUCAAAUAAUAAUAAUCACAGUGGUUGUAGAGGGUGCAAGUUCAAUAGGUCAGCACCUCAGGAGUAAAUGUCAGUUGGCUUUUCAUAGCCGAUCAUUCAGAGUUAGCGACAACAGGUGCGGUAGAGAGAGAGAAAAUCGAAAACAGCAGGUCCGGGACAAGGUAGUACGUGAACAGGUCAGCGUUCCAUAGCUGCAGGCAGAACAGUUGAAACUGGAGCAGCAACACGGUCCUAGGGCUCAGAUCCUCCGAGAGAAGAGAAAGAGAGAGCGAGAGAAAAUUAGAGGGAGCAUACUUAAAUUCACACAGGACACCAGAUAAGACAGGAGAAAUUCUCCAGAUAUAACAGACUGACCCUAGCCCCCUGACACAAACUAUUGCAGCAUAAUUACUGGAGGCUGAGACAGGAGGGGUCGGGAGACACUGUGGCCUCGUCCGCCUAUACCCCCGGACAGGGCCAACCAGGCAGGAUAUAACCCCACCCACUUUGCCAAAGCACAGCCUCCACACAACUAGAGGGAUAUAUUCAACCACCAACUUUAAGAAAUAUAUAUAUUUCACCUUUAUUUAACCAGGUAGGCUAGUUGAGAACAAGUUCUGUGUGUGCAAAUGAGGUAAGAUAAGGGAGGUAAGGCAAUAAAUAGGCCAUAGUGACGAAAUAAUUGUAAUUUAGCAAUUAAACACUGGAGUGAUAGAUGUGCAGAAGCUGAAUGUGCAAGUAGAGAUACUGGGGUGCAAACGAGCAAAAAAUGUAUCAAAAUAACAGUAUGGGGAUGAGGUAGUUGGAUGGGCUAUUUACAGAUGGGCUAUGUGCAGGUGCAGUGAUCUGUGAGCUGCUCUGACAACUGGUGCUUAAAGUUAGUCAGGGAGAUCUGAGUCUCCAGCUUCAGUGAUUUUUGCAAUUCGUUCCAGUCAUUGGCAGCAGAGAACUGGAAGGAAAGGCGGCCGAAGGAGGAAUUGGCUUUGGAGGUGACCAGUGAAAUAUACCUGCUGGAGUGCGUGCUACGGGUGGGUGCUGCUAUGGUGACCAGUGAGCUGAGAUAAGGCGGGGCUUUACCUAGCAAAGACUUAUAGAUGACCUGGAGCCAGUGGGUUUGGCGACGAAUAUGAAGCGAGGGCCAGCCAAUGAGAGCAUACAGGUUGUAGUGGUGGGUAGUAAUGGGGCUUUGGUGACAAAACGGAUGGCACUGUGAUAGACUGCAUCCAAUUUGCUGAGUAAAGUGUUGGAGGCUAUUUUGUAAAUGACAUUGCCGAAGUCAAGGAUCGGUAGGAUAGUCAGUUUUACUAGGUUAUGUUAAGCAGCAUGAGUGAAGGAUGCUUUGUUGCGAAAUUGGAAGCCGAUUCUAGAUUUAAUUUUGGAUUAAGCAUCUCCAAUGUGAGUCUGGAAGGAGAGUUUACAGUCUAACCAGACACCUAGGUAUUUGUAGAUGUCCACAUAUUCUAGGUCAGAACCGUACGGAGUAUUGAUGCUGGACGGGCGGGCUGGUGCUGGUAGCGAUCGGUUGAAGAGCAUGCAUUUAGUUUUACUUGCAUUUAAGAGUAGUUGGAGGCCACGGAAGGAGAGUUGUAUGGCAUUGAAGCUCGUCUGGAGGUUAGUUAACACAGUGUCCAAAGAAGGGCCAGAAGUAUACAGAAUACAGAAUGGUAGCUUACUACACUGAGACAAGGCCGAGUAUAGCCCACGAAGAUCUCCCCCACGGCACGAACCCAAGGGGGGGGCGCCAACCCGGACAGGAAGAUCACGCCAUUGACUAAACCCACUCAAGUGAUGCACCCCUCCUAGGGACGGCAUGGAAGAGCACCAGUAAGCCAGUGACUCAGCCCCCGUAAUAGGGUUAUAAUUGUAGCAGCAAAAUAAUGUUAUCGUGUAAAGAUAAAUGAAUGCAUGAGAUUUUCUCACUUGGGUGAGUCACUCCAUAUUGAAAAUGAGGGCAGUGACCCAAAUGUUUUGUAACUAUUGUGUGACAGUUUUAUCUGACAAUUGUUUUAUCUUGUUUGAGGUUGUCAUUGUGUAGAGUCUGAGAGGAAGGCUGUGCUUCUCUUGCAUCAGAUCUGAGAUCAAACCCUUCGCACCUGAAAGAGCUACACUACAAUUAACCCAGAGACUCAGGAGUAAACCUGCUCUCUGCUGUACUGAAUCAUCCACUCACUGAACUGGAGAAACUCAGUUUCUCUGCACUAGCGUGGACCAUGAUGGAAAGGGCAGGAUCAAACCUGGGCUUAUGAAAUAUGCACUCUGGACCCAAACACAGCACAUACAGCAAAUACCUUUCUCUGUCUGAGGGAAACAGACGAGUGACACAGAUAUGGAUGUGAGGAAAGCUUUGACUAUGUACAGACUCAGUGAGCAUAGCCUUGCUAUUGAGAAAGGCCGCCGUAGGCAGACAUGGCUCUCAAAAGAAGACAGGUUAUGUGCACUGCCCACAAAAUGAGGUGGAAACCGAGCUGCACUUCCUAACCUCCUGCCCAAUGUAUGACCAUAUUAGAGACACAUAUUUCCCUCAGAUCACACAGAUCCACAAAGAAUUCGAAAACAAAUCCAAUUUUGAUAAACUCCCAUAUCUACUGGGUGAAAUUCCACAGUGUGCCAUCACAGCAGCAAGAUUUGUGACCUGUUGCCACAAGAAAAGGGCAACCAGUGAAGAACAAACACCAUUGUAAAUACAACCCAUAUUUAUGCUUACUUAUUUUAACUUGUGUGCUUUAACCAUUUGUACAUUGUUACAACACUGUAUAUAUUUAAUAUGACACUCAUAAUGCCUUUAUUGUUUUGAAACUUCUGUAUGUGUAAUGUUUACUGUUAAUUCGUUUUGUUUGUUUCACUUUUGUGUAUUGUCUACCUCACUUGCUUUGGCAAUGUUAACACAUGUUUCCCAUGCCAAUAAAGCCCCUUGAAUUGAAAUUGAAUUGAAUUGAAUUGGAUGCAGCAGCCCUAUCCUGAUCACCCAGAGAGAUUGAAGGUCUGGCUACAGGUCCUGUGUCGACAGGGUCUGACUGGGCACUGUUACUGGGAGGCAAAUUGGAUUGGGAGAGGGGCUUUUAUAGGAGUGACAUAUCAAGGAAUCAACAGGAGAGGAAUUGAUGAAGACUGUUUGCUUGGAUACAAUGACAAGUCCUGGAGUCUGAACUGAGAUGAUGACAGUUACUUUGCCAGGCACAAUGGGAAGAGUACUGCCAUACAUGUCCCCCACUCCCAUUCCAAGAGAGUUGGAGUGUAUCUGGACAGGCCAGCUGGCUAACUGUCCUCUGAAAAACUGACCCAUCUGCACACAUUCCACUUCACAUUCACUGAGCCCCUUUACCAAAGGGUUUGGGUUGAAUCUUCUCUGACUUUGUGCCAUGCUUGAAAUUCAUGCAAAUAAACUCAAAUGUAACAGUGUGACAUGAUAUGAUUUCCACUUACUGUCAGAAGAGGUGUGGUGUGUUUUCCCAUGCGUGGUUGGAUGUACAGCUGUUCCCUUUCCUCGAUGUCAGGGGUAGUCAAUCCUGGUCCUAGAGUGCCGCAGGCACUUCAUGUUUUUGAUUUAACUGACCUGAAAGACCAGGUGUGUUGAAUUUCAGCAAUCACUGAACUAAUCAAUUUGCUCAGUUGGUCAGGGCUUCGUUCAGUACAUAAAAACAGAACAGAACAUUCAAUUGAAUGGAAACGGUGGUGUAAGGAAUGACUAGUUGAAGGGGUUGGGUUGGGUUAUGGAAAACUGACCCACCCAAAUGCACCGGUGCCCUUUAAAUAUGCCGCCAUGCUUCAAGCCACACCCCGGCACACCCACUGAAUGGAGCAAACGUAUCUCAAAGUCUGUUCAAGAACGUACAAGAACGUUUUGGGAAAACAUGUUAUUCAGUACAAAUCGUGCCCAGCAUAGCAAGCGUUCAAGCAAACUGAACGCACCCCUGGUGUGGUACCUAGUUAGAACAAAAUCCUGCGGUACCUGCAGCUCUCCGGGAACAGGGUGGCCUACCCCUGUUCUAUUGUGGGUGGGAUGAUCAAACUAUUCUACUUGUACAAAAUGUUAUGCUGUUUCCAAAUGAAACAAAAUACCUUUCUCUUGUUAAAGCUUUUAGAAUUUAUUUGUUUGUCUAUGUGCUCAUGUGCAAAAGAGACAUUGACCUCAGCAUGACUCCCUGUCAAAAUAAAAGGUUGAAUAUU